rnacentral:rRNA from 1 species
CCUACGGGAGGCAGCAGUGGGGAAUAUUGCACAAUGGGCGAAACCCUGAUGCAGCGACGCCGCGUGAGUGAAGAAGUAUUUCGUUACGUAAAGCUCUAUCAGCAGGGAAGAAAAUGACGGUACCUGAGUAAUAAGCCCCGGCUAACUACGUGCCAGCAGCCGCGGUAAUACGUAGGGGGCAAGCGUUAUCCGGAUUUACUGGGUGUAAGGGGAGAGUAGACGGCAGUGCAAGCCAGGAGUGAAAGGCGGGGGCUCAACCCCCGGAUUGCUCUGGAAACUGUACGGCUAGAGUACAGGAGAGGUAAGUGGAAUUCCUAGUGUAGCGGUGAAAUGCGUAGAUAUUAGGAGGAACACCAGUGGCGAAGGCGGCUUACUGGACUGUAACUGACGUUGAGGCUCGAAAGCGUGGGGAGCAAACAGGAUUAGAUACCCGUGUAGUC